rnacentral:sRNA from 1 species
GCCGGGUGCAGUGGCUCACACCUGUAAUCCCAGCAUUUUGGGAGGCUGAGGCAGGUGGAUCACCUGAGGUCAGGAGUUUGAGACCAGCCUGACCAACAUGGUGAAACCCUGUCUCUA